GUACGGGGGGGGCAAGCGUUGUUCGGAAUUACUGGGCGUAAAGGGCUCGUAGGCGGCCAACUAAGUCAGACGUGAAAUCCCUCGGCUUAACCGGGGAACUGCGUCUGAUACUGGAUGGCUUGAGUUUGGGAGAGGGAUGCGGAAUUCCAGGUGUAGCGGUGAAAUGCGUAGAUAUCUGGAGGAACACCGGUGGCGAAGGCGGCUCACUGGCCCGAUACUGACGCUGAGGCACGAAAGCGUGGGGAGCAAACAGG
rnacentral:rRNA from 1 species